GGGCGAAUGGUUUAGUGGUAUAAUACUCCCUUAGCAUCUGCGUCACAGCGGAUACAACGAUUGGGAGUGGUCCGGGGUUCGAUUCCCCGUUUGUCCA
rfam:Beauveria bassiana D1-5 contig00313, whole genome shotgun sequence.